AAGAUGAAGGCGAUGAACCGGUUCUUCGAAGACGGCGACAAGGUCAAGGUGACGUUGAAGUUCCGCGGCCGCGAAAUGGCCCACCAGGAACUUGGCAUGAAGCUUCUGCUUCAGGUCAAGGAAGACACGCAGACGAUCGCCAAGGUCGAGGCAGAGCCGAAGCUCGAAGGCCGUCAGAUGAUGAUGGUGCUUGCACCCCGGACGUGACCGACGGGCCGGCCGUCCGGCCGGCUUGGGUGACGACCCAUGAAAUGUGCAUGAGCCGCCGACCUGGCGGCUUUUUGCAUUCUGGCACAGACGCCGAGAUCUCAGGAAUCCGGU
rnacentral:misc_RNA from 1 species